UAAGCAUGUAGAAAGUCGGGGAUCGGCUUGACUGGACCAGGGUUCAACUCCCUGCAGCUCCACAA
rnacentral:tmRNA from 1 species